rnacentral:rRNA from 1 species
AACGGUAACAGGUYUCGGACGCUGACGAGUGGCGAACGGGUGAGUAAUACAUCGGAACGUGCCCAGUCGUGGGGGAUAACUACUCGAAAGAGUAGCUAAUACCGCAUACGAUCUGAGGAUGAAAGCGGGGGMCCUUCGGGCCUCGCGCGAUUGGAGCGGCCGAUGGCAGAUUAGGUAGUUGGUGGGAUAAAAGCUUACCAAGCCGACGAUCUGUAGCUGGUCUGAGAGGACGACCAGCCACACUGGGACUGAGACACGGCCCAGACUCCUACGGGAGGCAGCAGUGGGGAAUUUUGGACAAUGGGCGAAAGCCUGAUCCAGCAAUGCCGCGUGCAGGAUGAAGGCCUUCGGGUUGUAAACUGCUUUUGUACGGAACGAAAAAGCUCCUUCUAAUACAGGGGGCCCAUGACGGUACCGUAAGAAUAAGCACCGGCUAACUACGUGCCAGCAGCCGCGGUAAUA